CGGGUGCACUGAUCCGGCCGGGCCUUUCCCUCUGUGGAACCCCAUGGCCUUCACAGGCUGUGCGGGGGAAACAGGACUUUUACUGUGAAAAAAUUAGAGUGCUCCAGGCAGGCCUAUGCUCGAAUACAUUAGCAUGGAAUAAUAGAAUAGGACGCGUGGUUCUAUUUUGUUGGUUUCUAGGACCGCCGUAAUGAUUAAUAGGGACAGUCGGGGGCAUCAGUAUUCAAUUGUCAGAGGUGAAAUUCUUGGAUCUAUUGAAGACUAACUACUGCGAAAGCAUUUGCCAAGGAUGUUUUCAUUGAUAAGGAACGAAAGUUAGGGGAUCGAAGACGAUCAGAUACCGUCGUAGUCUUAACUAUAAACUAUGCCGACUAGGGAUCGGACGAUGUUAUUUCUUGACGCGUUCGGCACCUUUCGAGAAAUCAAAGUGCUUGGGCUCCAGGGGGAGUAUGGUCGCAAGGCUGAAACUUAAAGAAAUUGACGGAAGGGCACCACCAGGGGUGGAACCUGCGGCUUAAUUUGACUCAACACGGGGAAACUCACCAGGUCCAGACACAGUGAGGAUUGACAGAUUGAGAGCUCUUUCUUGAUUCUGUGGGUGGUGGUGCAUGGCCGUUCUUAGUUGGUGGAGUGAUUUGUCUGCUUAAUUGCGAUAACGAACGAGACCUUAACCUGCUAAAUAGCCCGUACUGCUCUGGCAGUUCGCCGGCUUCUUAGAGGGACUAUCGG
rnacentral:rRNA from 1 species